GCCCUGGGUCCCCGGAUGCCCCUGCCCGAGCCCAGCGAGCAGGAGGGCGAAGAGUGUGAAGGCCAGCCGGGAGCCAUCCCCCGAGCCAGCCACGGACGUUGUCCGGGCAGCCCCCAGGAAGCCCAGGGAGUUCUCCAAACUGGUCCUGCUCACAGACUCCAACCAAGAUGAGGAAACGGUGGGAUCCAAGCCCCAGGAAGUGCACUGCGUCCUGUCCCUGGAGAUGGCUGGCCCCGCCACCCUCGUCAGCACCUUGCAGAUCCUGCCAGUUGAGCAGGGAGGGGUGGUCCAGCCAGCCCCACAGAUGCCUGAACAGAAGUGCAGCAAGCUGGACACAGCAGCCCCUCAGUCCCUGGAGUUCCUGAGGACACCAUUCGGGGGCCACCUCCUGGUGCUGGAGUCCUUCCUGUACAAGCAGGAGAAGGCUGUGGGGGACAAGGUAUACUGGAGUGCCGCCAGCAUGCUGAGCUGGGCUGCCCGGGCCGGGCCAUCACCCGAGGCCUGCGGGCCACAGUGAUGCGGGGCCACUGCCACGCGCCCAAUGAGCAAGGCAUGGAGGCCUGGCGCCAGAGGGAGAAGCUGCCCAGCCUGGCCCUGCCAGAGGGCUUGGGAGAGCCCCAGGGUCCUGAGGGCCCUGGAGGCCGAGUGGAGGAGCCACUGGAGGGGGUGGGCCCGUGGCAGUGCCCUGAGGAGCCAGAGCCAGAGCCCACUCCUGGGCUGGUGCUGAGCAAGCCAGCCCCGGAGGAAGAGGGACCCCGAGCCCUGUCACUGCUGAGCCUGCCGCCCAAGAAGCGCUCGAUCCUGGGGCUGGGACAGGCCCGGCCCCUCGAGUUCCUGAGGACGUGCUACGGGGGCAGCUUCCUGGUACACGAGUCAUUCCUCUGCAAGCGGGAGAAGGCUGUCGGGGACAAGGUGUAUUGGACCUGCCGGGACCACGCGCUGCACAGCUGCUGGAGCCGGGCCAUCACCCGGGGACAGCGGGUGACCGUGAUGCGUGGGCACUGCCACCAGCCCGAUAUGGAGGGCCUGGAAGCCCGGCGGCAGCAGGAGAAGGCCAUGGAGACGCUGCAGGCUGGGCAGGACGGCCCUGGGAGCCAAGUGGACACGCUGCUCCAAGGCGUGGAUAGUCUGCUCUACCGCAGGGGUCCGGGUCCCCUGACUCUCACCAGGCCUCGGCCCAGAAAGCGAGCAAAGGUUGAAGACCAGGAGCUGCCAAUCCAGCCCGAGGCCCCAGAAGGAUCCCCAGACGAGGACCAGGACAUGGACGCAGACCCUGGAGGCCGUGAGUUCCUGAAGACGCCCCUGGGGAGCAGCUUCCUGGUGUACGAGUCCUUCCUCUACCGGCGGGAGAAGGCGGCCGGGGAGAAGGUGUAUUGGACCUGCCGGGACCAGGCCCUCCGCAUGGGCUGCCGCAGCCGCGCCAUGACCCAGGGCCGGCGGGUCAUGGUCAUGCGCAGGCACUGCCACCCACCAGACCUGGGCGGCCUGGAAGCCCUGCGGAAGCGGGAGCACUUCCCCAGCCUGGCGCAGUGGGACAGCCCAGAUCCUCUCCGGCCCCUGGAGUUCCUGAGGACUUCCCUGGGGGGCAGGUUCCUGGUGCACGAGUCCUUCCUCUACAGGAAGGAGAAGGCGGCUGGGGAAAAGGUGUACUGGAUGUGCCGGGACCAGGCUCGGCUGGGCUGCCGCAGCCGCGCCAUCACCCAGGGCCACUGCAUCAUGGUCAUGCACAGCCACUGCCACCAGCCUGACCUGGCAGGCCUGGAGGCCUUGAGGCAACGGGAGCGGCUCCCCACUGCCGCCCAGCAGGAGGACCCAGAAAAGAUUCAAGUUCAGCUGUGCUACAAGAUGUGUUCUCCUGAAAGCCAGCCGAUUUAUGGGGACAUCAAAGACGUCAGACUGGAUGGCGAGUCCCAGUGAGGCAAUGUGGGCAGAGGAGCUCUGAGCCGCCCACCCGAGGUGGCUUCACAUCCACACAGGCACUUCCCAUCCACUUAGGUUUGGCUUGGCAGAAACUUCUUUUCAUUCUUCCAAAGCAUCGAUGGUCUUCGCAUCUCCUCAGGAGGAAUUCUUGGAUGGUGUCCUUGUGUUGGCAGAGAACAGUGCUCAGAGCUGGCGCUUGCAGACGCAGCUGUCGUGGGGCAGGGCAGUGGCGCCUUCCUGACCUUUGGAAGACGUGACGAAGCUGCCUGGACACGGACGCCCCUGCUGUCCGGCCACAGCACCCCUGGGUUUGCAGAGCACGCAGCCUUCCCAGGGCUUUCCACCUGGCGAGGCCCUGCUCUGCUCAGCAUGGUGCAAAGUGAAUGCCCCUGUCUUGGAGCCUGGGCACGUUUGGAGAACUUCCUGCUUCAAACUGAGCUGCCCCGCAUAGGCCAGGUCAAGCCACACCAAUCUUUUCUGGACAGGUGCUGGGUAGGCCUUCCUGGUCUCUGGCCGCCUGCUGCCAGGGUGCGGCCAUCCGCAGCAACCUGAGCCGGCCAAACCAGAGGCCUCGCUCCGCGCUCCACACUUUCCUUUCUGUGCUCCUUCCAAGUUAAAUUAAACCCCCUCUCCACGAUUCCCAUGGCAGGCGUCAUUCCCCGAGAUGG